AGUGAACGCUGGCGGUAGGCCUAACACAUGCAAGUCGAACGGCAGCACAGUAAGAGCUUGCUCUUACGGGUGGCGAGUGGCGGACGGGUGAGGAAUACAUCGGAACCUACUUUUUCGUGGGGGAUAACGUAGGGAAACUUACGCUAAUACCGCAUACGACCUACGGGUGAAAGCAGGGGAUCUUCGGACCUUGCGCGAUUGAAUGAGCCGAUGUCGGAUUAGCUAGUUGGCGGGGUAAAGGCCCACCAAGGCGACGAUCCGUAGCUGGUCUGAGAGGAUGAUCAGCCACACUGGAACUGAGACACGGUCCAGACUCCUACGGGAGGCAGCAGUGGGGAAUAUUGGGCAAUGGGCGCAAGCCUGAUCCAGCCAUACCGCGUGGGUGAAGAAGGCCUUCGGGUUGUAAAGCCCUUUUGUUGGGAAAGAAAAGCAGCAGGUUAAUACCCCGCUGUUCUGACGGUACCCAAAGAAUAAGCACCGGCUAACUUCGUG
rnacentral:rRNA from 1 species